rnacentral:rRNA from 1 species
AUUGAACGCUGGCGGCAUGCUUUACACAUGCAAGUCGGACGAGUGGCGAACGGGUGAGUAAUAUAUGGGAAAGUACCGGAUGAUGGGGGAUAACUACUCGAAAGGUUAGCUAAUACCGCAUAAUAUUCGAGCGGCCCAGAUGUGAUUAGCUGGUUGGUGGGGUAAAGGCUCACCAAGGCGACGAUCAGUAGCUGGUCUGAGAGGAUGAUCGGCCACACUGGGACUGCUACACGGCCCAGACUCCUACGGGAGGCAGAAGUGGGGAAUUUUGGACAAUGGGCGCAAGCCUGAUUCAGCCAUGCCGCGUGUGUGAAGAAGGCCUUCGGGUUGUAAAGCACUUUUAGCGAGGAAGCGGUACCUGAAGAAGAAGCACCGGCUAACUUCGUGCCAGCAGCCGCGGUAAUAC